rnacentral:rRNA from 2 species
ACACACGCAAGUCUAACGGUGAAGCAGGAGCUUGCUCUUGUGGAUCAGUGGCGAACGGGUGAGUAACACGUGAGCAACCUGCCCCUGACUCUGGGAUAAGCGCUGGAAACGGCGUCUAAUACUGGAUAUGUGACGUGACCGCAUGGUCUGCGUUUGGAAAGAUUUUUCGGUUGGGGAUGGGCUCGCGGCCUAUCAGCUUGUUGGUGAGGUAAUGGCUCUACCAAGGCGUCGACGGGUAGCCGGCCUGAGAGGGUGACCGGCCACACUGGGACUGAGACACGGCCCAGACUCCUACGGGAGGCAGCAGUGGGGAAUAUUGCACAAUGGGCGAAAGCCUGAUGCAGCAACGCCGCGUGAGGGAUGACGGCCUUCGGGUUGUAAACCUCUUUUAGCAGGGAAGAAGCGAAAGUGACGGUACCUGCAGAAAAAGCGCCGGCUAACUACGUGCCAGCAGCCGCGGUAAUACGUAGGGCGCAAGCGUUAUCCGGAAUUAUUGGGCGUAAAGAGCUCGUAGGCGGUUUGUCGCGUCUGCUGUGAAAUCCCGAGGCUCAACCUCGGGCCUGCAGUGGGUACGGGCAGACUAGAGUGCGGUAGGGGAGAUUGGAAUUCCUGGUGUAGCGGUGGCAAUGCGCAGAUAUCAGGAGGAACACCGAUGGCGAAGGCAGAUCUCUGGGCCGUAACUGACGCUGAGGAGCGAAAGGGUGGGGAGCAAACAGGCUUAGAUACCCUGGGUAGUCCACCCCGUAAACGUUGGGAACUAGUUGUGGGGUCCAUUCCCACGGGAUUUCCGUUGAACGCAGCUUACCGCAUUAAGUUCCCCGGCCUGGGGAGUACGGCCGGGAGGCUAAA